GUGGUUAGUUCUUCAAGUGUUGAAGUUCUAAAUCCAUUUUGGAUGCUUUGAUCUUUGCAAGUAUUGCUUGAUCUUAUGUUUAGUUCUUCAAGUGUUGAAGUUCCAAAUCUAUUUUGGGUGCUUUGAUCUUUGCAAGUGUUUCUUGAUCUUGUGUUUAGUUCUUCAAGUGUUGAAGUUUUAAAUCUAUUUUAGAUUCUUUGAUCUUUGCAAGAGUUGCUUGAUCUUGUGUUUAGUUCUUCAAGUGUUGAAGUUCUAAAUCUAUUUUGUGUGCUUUUAUCUUUUGAGAAAAGAUCCUUGGUGUGGCUCUAGU
rnacentral:lncRNA from 1 species